ACAUUAGUGUCCAAAGUCUUUAAUAACACCAACAGAGCACAUAUACUGCCACAGUUCAGUGUAUAUAUGGCAUAUAUACAUUCAUGAGUUAACAUUUCUAACAGUAGUUACUUUCGAACGGUUUGAUAUUACUGAGCUAAUUUACAUUAGUAUUUCUACAGGAUGAUGGGAUUACGACUAUGAGAAGCUCCAGGAGGAGCUGGCCAUCAACGGAGCCCAGAGGGGGAGGAGAGAGAGGGGGCCGGCCUGCAGCAGACCGAGGAGCUGCAGCACCAGGCGAUGAGUGCAGAGUUUCCGGACCACAACGGAGAAGUUCCUUCACUCCAUUCAUGCCUUUUUCAUACCGUACUCACUGUAUACUCAUAGUAUUCUAUGCCAUGAAAAAAAUUAAUAAAAAAAGUAAGUAAUAGUAGUAGUAUGUAA